GAGAGAGAGACAUGCGCGCAUAUCAAUAAGCGGAGGAAAAGAAACUAACAAGGAUUCCCUUAGUAACGGCGAGUGAAGCGGGAAGAGCUCAAAUUUGAAAUCUUCAAGGUUUUACCUUGACGAAUUGUAGUUUAAAGAAGUGUUUUCUGCUGAAGUUUUGGUAAAAGUUCUUUGGAAUAGGACAUCAUAGAGGGUGAGAAUCCCGUAUUUGACCAUUAUUUUCAGCUUUGUGAUACACUUUCAAAGAGUCGGAUUGUUUGGGAAUGCAGUCCAAAAUGGGUGGUAAAUUUCAUCUAAAGCUAAAUAUUGGCGAGAGACCGAUAGCGAACAAGUACCGUGAGGGAAAGAUGAAAAGAACUUUGAAAAGAGAGUUAAACAGUACGUGAAAUUGUCAAAAGGGAAGCGUUUGACACCAGUGUUGUUUUCUCGAAAAUCAAUUAAAAAAGGCAGGAUUUUGUGUUGUAUUGACUUUAUCAGCUUUCUGCACUCUUUUCUUGUCUUUUUUAAUGCACUUUUCGUUUAACAAGUCAACAUCAAUUUCUUUUGUUGUAAAAGGGUCAUUGGAAGGUGGCUUUCUUUUCGGAGAAAGUGUUUAUAGCCUUUGGCCUCUGCAAUCGGAGAGAUUGAGGUCUGCAGCGUAGACUCUUCGGGGUUAGAUACAUUUGUGCUAAGUUAUAGCCUUUUCAUAGACAACUUGUUGACUAUAAUUAGUCUUGUAGCUUACUCGCUUAUGCUAUUUUACCUACGCUUAGGAUGUUGAGUCGUAGAGCACGCAG
rnacentral:rRNA from 1 species